rnacentral:rRNA from 1 species
GGUAGCACAGAGAGCUUGCUCUCGGGUGACGAGUGGCGGACGGGUGAGUAAUGUCUGGGAAACUGCCUGAUGGAGGGGGAUAACUACUGGAAACGGUAGCUAAUACCGCAUAACGUCGCAAGACCAAAGAGGGGGACCUUCGGGCCUCUUGCCAUCAGAUGUGCCCAGAUGGGAUUAGCUAGUAGGUGGGGUAACGGCUCACCUAGGCGACGAUCCCUAGCUGGUCUGAGAGGAUGACCAGCCACACUGGAACUGAGACACGGUCCAGACUCCUACGGGAGGCAGCAGUGGGGAAUAUUGCACAAUGGGCGCAAGCCUGAUGCAGCCAUGCCGCGUGUAUGAAGAAGGCCUUCGGGUUGUAAAGUACUUUCAGCGGGGAGGAAGGUGUUGCGGUUAAUAACCGCAACAAUUGACGUCACCCGCAGAAGAAGCACCGGCUAACUCCGUGCCAGCAGCCGCGGUAAUACGGAGGGUGCAAGCGUUAAUCGGAAUUACUGGGCGUAAAGCGCACGCAGGCGGUCUGUCAAGUCGGAUGUGAAAUCCCCGGGCUCAACCUGGGAACUGCAUUCGAAACUGGCAGGCUAGAGUCUUGUAGAGGGGGGUAGAAUUCCAGGUGUAGCGGUGAAAUGCGUAGAGAUCUGGAGGAAUACCGGUGGCGAAGGCGGCCCCCUGGACAAAGACUGACGCU